rnacentral:rRNA from 1 species
CCUACUGGUGGCAGCAGUGGGGAAUAUUGGGCAAUGGGCGCAAGCCUGACCCAGCAACGCCGCGUGAAGGAAGAAGGCUUUCGGGUUGUAAACUUCUUUUCUGAGGGACGAAGAAAGUGACGGUACCUCAGGAAUAAGCCACGGAUAACUACGUGCCAGCAGCCGCGGUAAUACGUAGGUGGCAAGCGUUAUCCGGAUUUAUUGGGUGUAAAGGGCGUGUAGGGGGGAAAGCAAGUCAGAUGUGAAAACUCAGGGCUCAACCCUGAGCCUGCAUUUGAAACUGUUUUUCUUGAGUGCUGGAGAGGCAAUCGGAAUUCCUGGUGUAGCGGUGAAAUGCGUAGAUAUACGGAGGAACACCAGUGGCGAAGGCAGAUUGCUGGAAAGUAACUGACGCUGAGGCGCGAAAGCGUGGGGAGCAAACAGGAUUAGAUACCCCUGUAGUC